rnacentral:tRNA from 1 species
UGCGAGGUAGUGGAAUUGGAAACGCGCCUGGCCCUGAACCAGGAGCUCCGGACGGCUGGUCUCACCUCCGCUUCGCUCCGAUUCGCUCGCCGCUCCGUUCGAACCCUGGCCUCGCAGCCA